UGCGCAGGCGGGGCAAUAAGUCAGUGGUGAAAUCCUGCGGCUUAACCGUAGAACUGCCAUUGAUACUGUUGCCCUUGAGUAUAGUUGAGGUGGGCGGAAUAUGUAAUGUAGCGGUGAAAUGCAUAGAUAUUACAUAGAACACCAAUUGCGAAGGCAGCUCACUAAGCUAUCACUGACGCUGAGGCACGAAAGCGUGGGGAGCGAACAGGAUUAGCUACCCUGGUAGUCC
rnacentral:rRNA from 1 species